GACGAACGCUGGCGGCGUGCUUAACACAUGCAAGUCGAGCGGUAAGGCCCUUUCGGGGGUACGACGAGCGGCGAACGGGUGAGUAACACGUGGGUGACCUGCCUUUAGCUCUGGGAUAAGCCUGGGAAACUGGGUCUAAUACCGGAUAUGACUCCAUGAUGCAUGUUGUGGGGUGGAAAGCCUUGUGCGGCUGGAGAUGGGCCCGCGGCCUAUCAGCUUGUUGGUGGGGUGAUGGCCUACCAAGGCGACGACGGGUAGCCGGCCUGAGAGGCGACCGGCCACACUGGGACUGAGACACGGCCCAGACUCCUACGGGAGGCAGCAGUGGGGAAUCUUGCGCAAUGGGCGAAAGCCUGACGCAGCGACGCCGCGUGAGGGAUGACGGCCUGG
rnacentral:rRNA from 1 species